rnacentral:rRNA from 1 species
CAAAGAGAAGGACCAGCCGCAAGGAAAAUGAGACACGGUCCAGGAUUCUACGGAAGGACAGCAAGGGGGAAUAUUGCGCAAUGGGGCGCAAAACCUGAUGCAGCCAAGCCGCGUGUAAGAAGAAAGGCCUUUCGGGUUGAAAAAGUACUUUCAGCAGGGGAGGAAGGAAGUAAAGUUAAUACCUUUGCUCAUUGACGUUACCCGCAAGAAGAAGCACCGGCUAACUCUGAGCCAGCAGCCGCGGUAAUACGGAGGGUGCAAGCGUUAAUCGGAAUUACUGGGCGUAAAGCGCACGCAGGCGGUUUGUUAAGUCAGAUGUCAAAUCCCCGGGCUCAACCAAGGAAAUGCAUCUGAUACUGGCAAGCUUGAGUAUCGUAGAGGGGGGUAGAAUUCCAGGUGUAGCGGUGAAAUGAGAAGAGAUCUGGAGGAAUACCGGUGGCGAAGGCGGCCCCCUGGAUGAAGACUCCCGCUCAGGUCGCAAUCUUGCCUCUCCGCAGGAUUAGAUAC